CACCGUAUUUUGUACGGUAUCCUUAUCUGAAUACAUAGGAUAAGCGAAGCGAACCCGGAGAACUGAACCAUCUAAGUACCCGGAGGAAAAGAAAUCAACCGAGAUUCCGUAAGUAGUGGCGAGCGAACGCGGAGGAGCCUGUAUAUGAUAGCUGUUGAGAUAGAAGAACAAGCUGGGAAGCUUGGCCAUAGUGGGUGAUAGCCCCGUAUUCGAAAUUUCAUCAGUGGUACUAGGUAUACGACAAGUAGGGCGGGACACGUGGAAUCCUGUCUGAAUAUGGGGGGACCAUCCUCCAAGGCUAAAUACUCAUCAUCGACCGAUAGUGAACCAGUACCGUGAGGGAAAGGCGAAAAGAACCCCGGGAGGGGAGUGAAAUAGAACCUGAAACCUGAUGCAUACAAACAGUGGAAGCCUAUUAAUUGGGUGACUGCGUACCUUUUGUAUAAUGGGUCAACGACUUACAUUCAGUAGCGAGCUUAACCGGAUAGGGGAGGCGUAGGGAAACCGAGUCUUAAUAGGGCGAUGAGUUGCUGGGUGUAGACCCGAAACCGAGUGAUCUAUCCAUGGCCAGGAUGAAGGUGCCGUAACAGGUACUGGAGGUCCGAACCCACGCAUGUUGCAAAAUGCGGGGAUGAGCUGUGGAUAGGGGUGAAAGGCUAAACAAACUCGGAGAUAGCUGGUUCUCCCCGAAAACUAUUUAGGUAGUGCCUCAUGUAUCACUUCCGGGGGUAAAGCACUGUUAUGGCUAGGGGGUCAUUGCGACUUACCAACCCAUGGCAAACUAAGAAUACCGGAAAGUGCAAUCAUGGGAGACAGACAGCGGGUGCUAACGUCCGUUGUCGAGAGGGAAACAACCCAGACCGCCAGCUAAGGUCCCAAAUGACAGAUUAAGUGGUAAACGAAGUGGGAAGGCCCAGACAGCCAGGAUGUUGGCUUAGAAGCAGCCAUCAUUUAAAGAAAGCGUAAUAGCUCACUGGUCGAGUCGUCCUGCGCGGAAGAUGUAACGGGGCUCAAAUCUGUAACCGAAGCUGCGGAUGCACCUAGUGCAUGGUAGGGGAGCGUUCUGUAGGCCGAUGAAGGUGACUUGAGAAGGUUGCUGGAGGUAUCAGAAGUGCGAAUGUUGACAUGAGUAGCGAUAAAGCGGGUGAAAAGCCCGCUCGCCGAAAGCCCAAGGUUUCCUACGCAACGUUCAUCGGCGUAGGGUGAGUCGGCCCCUAAGGCGAGGCAGAAAUGCGUAGUCGAUGGGAAACGGGUUAAUAUUCCCGUACUUGAUUCAAAUGCGAUGUGGGGACGGAGAAGGUUAGGUUAGCAAGCUGUUGGAAUAGCUUGUUUAAGCCGGUAGGUGGAAGACUUAGGCAAAUCCGGGUCUUUUAAACACCGAGAAGUGAUGACGAGUGUCUACGGACAUGAAGUAACCGAUACCACGCUUCCAGGAAAAGCCACUAAGCUUCAGUUUGAAUUGAACCGUACCGCAAACCGACACAGGUGGGCAGGAUGAGAAUUCUAAGGCGCUUGAGAGAACUCGGGAGAAGGAACUCGGCAAAUUGAUACCGUAACUUCGGGAGAAGGUAUGCCCUUUGAUGUGAAAGACUUGCUCUGUAAGCAUUGGAGGGUCGCAGAGAAUCGGUGGCUGCGACUGUUUAUUAAAAACACAGCACUCUGCUAACACGAAAGUGGACGUAUAGGGUGUGACGCCUGCCCGGUGCUGGAAGGUUAAUUGAAGAUGUGCAAGCAUCGGAUCGAAGCCCCAGUAAACGGCGGCCGUAACUAUAACGGUCCUAAGGUAGCGAAAUUCCUUGUCGGGUAAGUUCCGACCCGCACGAAUGGCGUAACGAUGGCCACACUGUCUCCUCCCGAGACUCAGCGAAGUUGAAAUGGUUGUGAAGAUGCAAUCUCCCCGCUGCUAGACGGAAAGACCCCGUGAACCUUUACUGUAGCUUUGCAUUGGACUUUGAAGUCACUUGUGUAGGAUAGGUGGGAGGCUUAGAAGCAGAGACGCCAGUUUCUGUGGAGCCGUCCUUGAAAUACCACCCUGGUGGCUUUGAGGUUCUAACCCAGGUCCGUGAUCCGGAUCGGGGACCGUGCAUGGUAGGC
rnacentral:rRNA from 1 species